GUCCACGCUGUAAACGAUGGAUGCUAGACGUGGUGGGUCUUGACCCCUGCCGUGUCGAAGUUAACACAAUAAGCAUCCCGCCUGGGGAGUACGGUCGCAAGACUAAAACUCAAAGGAAUUGACGGGGGCCCGCACAAGCGGUGGAUCAUGUGGUUUAAUUCGAAGCAACGCGAAGAACCUUACCUAGGUUUGACAUCCUCUGAAAUUAGUAGAGAUAUUAAUGGCUCGCAAGAGACAGAGAGACAGGUGCUGCAUGGCUGUCGU
rnacentral:rRNA from 1 species